rnacentral:rRNA from 1 species
GACGAACGCUGGCGGCGUGCUUAACACAUGCAAGUCGAACGCAGUGGCGAACGGGUGAGUAACGCGUAAUCAACCUGCCAUUCAGCGGGGGACAACAGUUGGAAACGACUGCUAAUACCGCAUACUGAAGGAGGGGAUUGCGUCUGAUUAGCUAGUUGGAGGGGUAACGGCCCACCAAGGCGAGGAUCAGUAGCCGGGCUGAGAGGAUGAACGGCCAAAGUGGGACUGAGACACGGCCCAGACUCCUACGGGAGGCAGCAGUGGGGAAUAUUGGACAAUGGGCGCAAGCCUGAUGCAGCCAUGCCGCGUGUAUGAAGAAGGCCUUCGGGUUGUAAAGUACUUUCAUCGAGGAACGUUACUCGCAGAAGAAGCACCGGCUAACUCCGUGCCAGCAGCCGCGGUAAUAC